rnacentral:rRNA from 1 species
AUUGAACGCUGGCGGCAUGCCUUACACAUGCAAGUCGAACGGUAACAGGUCUUCGGAUGCUGACGAGUGGCGAACGGGUGAGUAAUACGUCGGAACGUGCCUAGUAGUGGGGGAUAACUACUCGAAAGAGUGGCUAAUACCGCAUGAGAUCUACGGAUGAAAGCAGGGGAUCGCAAGACCUUGUGCUACUAGAGCGGCCGAUGGCAGAUUAGGUAGUUGGUGGGAUAAAAGCUUACCAAGCCGACGUUCUGUAGCUGGUCUGAGAGGACGAUCAGCCACACUGGGACUGAGACACGGCCCAGACUCCUACGGGAGGCAGCAGUGGGGAAUUUUGGACAAUGGGCGCAAGCCUGAUCCGGCAAUGCCGCGUGCAGGAUGAAGGCCUUCGGGUUGUAAACUGCUUUUGUACGGAACGAAAAGCCCUGGGUUAAUACCCUGGGGUCAUGACGGUACCGUAAGAAUAAGCACCGGCUAACUACGUGCCAGCCGCCGCCGUAA